UACGGAGGGUGCAAGCGUUAUCCGGAUUCACUGGGUUUAAAGGGUGCGUAGGCGGGCAGGUAAGUCAGUGGUGAAAUCUUCGAGCUUAACUCGGAAACUGCCGUUGAUACUAUCUGUCUUGAAUAUCGUGGAGGUGAGCGGAAUAUGUCAUGUAGCGGUGAAAUGCUUAGAUAUGACAUAGAACACCGAUUGCGAAGGCAGCUCACUACACGAACAUUGACGCUGAGGCACGAAAGCGUGGGGAUCAAACAGG
rnacentral:rRNA from 1 species